CAAAAACACAAACACACGACCUCCUGUAAACAAACCUUAACCAAAUGCUAUUGCUAUCAAUAAAACACCCUUCUUCGCUAACCAGAUAAAACCACCUGUACAUAGUUACUAUGCCUGUCUUAACUCUCUUCUUCUUUCUUUCCUUUCUCAAAAUAUGUCUUACACUUCAAUUCUGCGAGGAUUUCUGUAGUCCUAUUAGCCCGGAGGUUCGAUUCCCUUUCGGGCUUGACGGCGAUGGAUGCGGCUACCCAGGUUUCAAUCUUUCCUGCAAUGAAAGAGGCCAAACAAUCCUUAAUCUCCCUCGCUCCGGCAACUUCAUCGUCCAAUCCAUCGAUUAUCAAAUUCAAGAGAUUCGCAUUACAGACCCUGGAAACUGCUUCGCAGAGCGCCUCCUCCACAAUUUUAGUCUCUCGGGAUCACCUUUCAGUACAGAGCUUAAUCGCGCCUUCUCGUUUCUUAAUUGUUCAUCGAAUUUUUCCAUCUCCGCAUCCUUACCUUCUUCCGCAAGGCGGAUUAAUUGUCUUAGCAAUGAUAACUUCACGGUUGUGGCCAUGCCUACUGGUUUACAUGGAUACUUGCCGCCGAUACCUUCAUGUAUAGUGAUGGAGAACAUGGUCGACGUUCCGGUCUUUUGGCCUCGCUAUCCCGAAGGAGAUUCCUCGUUGAUAUGGACUACACCGGAUUGUGGUGGAUGCGAAUUGAACGGUGGGACUUGUGGGUUCAAAGAUGCUGGGAGUCUUGAUAUUGGAUGCUUUGAUCUACCAAGCAAUGACCGUGGUCUCCCAAGGAGCGCAAAAUAUGGCAUAAUAAUAGGGGUUGGAAUACCAGCACUUAUGUGCAUAAUUGGACUUGGUUGUUACUUAUGUGGCAGAGUGAGGAAUUAUAGGAGGAGCCACCAGUCGAGCUCAGAAGUCACCAUCGCAUUGGCGAACCCACCAAGCAUUUUGAUAGGUGGACUGGACGGACCAACCAUAGAAUCAUACCCUAAAACUUUACUGGGCGAAAGUCGACGAUUGCCUAAGCCUAAUGACAACACUUGCCCGAUAUGUUUAUCCGAGUAUCAACCUAAGGAGACAUUAAGGACUAUACCUGAAUGCAACCAUUAUUUCCAUGCUGAUUGUAUCGAUGAAUGGCUUACAAUGAAUCCGACAUGUCCUCUGUGUCGAAAUUCACCGGAGGUUUCCUCCACAGCUACUACCCCUUCUUUGCCAUCAUCUGCUUCUUCGUCUUCAUUAUCUGCAAGAAGAUAGAUGAACACCAUUGCUGCAGUUUGUUUUAUAUGUGGUAUUCUAAAUUUAUAAUUUGUUCAUGUGAAUAUGAAUUUAAAGUUGGUGAUGAUGUGUCUGAUUGGAUUUUUGGUAUGUUUUUACAUGGAAUUGGAAUACCACUAAAUUUUGAUCAAACACAGGAAAUCAAGUGGCUUUUGCCUUGUUUGUGUGUACUAGUUAUCUUGCUUUGAAGCUGUCAAACAUUU
rnacentral:misc_RNA from 1 species